ACCAUCCUAAGGUAGCGAAAUUCCUUGUCGGGUAAGUUCCGACCUGCACGAAUGGAGUAACGACUUCCCUACUGUCUCAACCAUGAACUCGGCGAAAUUGCAGUACGAGUAAAGAUGCUCGUUUCGCGCAGCAGGACGGAAAGACCCCGUGACCUUUACUAUAGUUUGGUAUUGGUGUUUGGUUUGGCUUGUGUAGGAUAGGUGGGAGACUGUGAAGCAUGGACGCUAGUUUGUGUGGAGUCGUUGUUGAAAUACCACUCUGGUCAAUCUGGAUGUCUAACUUCGGGCCAUGAUCUGGUUCAGGGACAGUGCCUGAUGGGUAGUUUAACUGGGGCGGUUGCCUCCUAAAGUGUAACGGAGGCGCCCAAAGGUUCCCUCAGCCUGGUUGGCAAUCAGGUGUUGAGUGUAAGUGCACAAGGGAGCUUGACUGUGAGACUGGCAGGUCGAGCAGGGACGAAAGUCGGGACUAGUGAUCCGGCGGUACGUUGUGGAACGGCCGUCGCUCAACGGAUAAAAGGUACCUCGGGGAUAACAGGCUGAUCUUGCCCAAGAGUCCAUAUCGACGGCAUGGUUUGGCACCUCGAUGUCGGCUCGUCGCAUCCUGGGGCUGGAGUCGGUCCCAAGGGUUGGGCUGUUCGCCCAUUAAAGCGGUACGCGAGCUGGGUUCAGAACGUCGUGAGACAGUUCGGUCCCUAUCCGCUGCGCGCGUUGGAAAUUUGAGAAAGGCUGUCCUUAGUACGAGAGGACCGGGACGGACGAACCUCUGGUAUGUCAGUUGUACCGCCAGGUGCAUGGCUGAUUGGCUACGUUCGGGAGGGAUAACCGCUGAAAGCAUCUAAGCGGGAAGCCUGUUUCGAGAUGAGAUUUCCUGGCACUUUUUGGUGUGUGAGGCUCCUUAUAGAUGAUGAGGUUGAUAGGCCGGGUAUGGAAGCGAGGACUGAAGACUCGUGGAGUUGACUGGUACUAAUAGGUCGAAGGCUUACUUUU
rnacentral:rRNA from 1 species